rnacentral:rRNA from 1 species
GAUGAACGCUAGCUACAGGCUUAACACAUGCAAGUCGAGGGGCAGCAUGGACAUAGCUUGCUAUGCCUGAUGGCGACCGGCGCACGGGUGCGUAACACGUAUCCAAUCUGCCCGUUACUCGGGGAUAGCCUUCUGAAAGGAAGAUUAAUACCCGAUGGCAUGUAUUUCCGGCAUCGGAGAUACAUUAAAGAUUAAUCGGUAACGGAUGAGGAUGCGUACGAUUAGCUUGUUGGCGGGGUAACGGCUCACCAAGGCAACGAUCGGUAGGGGUGCUGAGAGGACGGUCCCCCACACUGGAACUGAGACACGGUCCAGACUCCUACGGGAGGCAGCAGUGAGGAAUAUUGGUCAAUGGACGCAAGUCUGAACCAGCCAAGUAGCGUGAAGGAUGACUGCCCUAUGGGUUGUAAACUUCUUUUGCCGUAGAACAAAACAUGCCACGUGUGGCAUUUUGCGUGUAUACGUUGAAUAAGCAUUGGCUAACUCCGUGCCAGCCGCCGCCGCAGUAA